CAGGGUAGCAUUACCGCUGACGACCGGCGCACGGGUGAGUAACACGUAUCCAACCUACCAUUCACACGGGGAUAGCCUUUCGAAAGAAAGAUUAAUACCCGAUAGUAUAGCGAUAAGGCAUCUUAUUGCUAUUAAAGAAUUUCGGUGUUUGAUGGGGAUGCGUUCCAUUAGAUUGUUGGUGAGGUAACGGCUCGCCAAGUCUUCGAUGGAUAGGGGUUCUGAGAGGAAGGUCCCCCACAUUGGAACUGAGACACGGUCCAAACUCCUACGGGAGGCAGCAGUGAGGAAUAUUGGUCAAUGGACGAGAGUCUGAACCAGCCAAGUAGCGUGAAGGAUGAAGGCCCUAUGGGUCGUAAACUUCUUUUAUAGGGGAAUAAAGUGCGGAACGUGUUCCGCUUUGUAUGUACCCUACGAAUAAGGAUCGGCUAACUCCGUGCCAGCAGCCGCGGUAAUACGGAGGAUCCGAGCGUUAUCCGGAUUUAUUGGGUUUAAAGGGAGCGUAGGUGGACGUAUAAGUCAGUUGUGAAAGUUUGCGGCUCAACCGUAAAAUUGCAGUUGAUACUGUAUGUCUUGAGUGUACAAGAGGUGGGCGGAAUUCGUGGUGUAGCGGUGAAAUGCUUAGAUAUCACGAAGAACUCCGAUUG
rnacentral:rRNA from 1 species